rnacentral:piRNA from 1 species
UCAGCAGUGGGUUAGAGAAAGGGUGGGAA